UACGUAGGGGGCAAGCGUUUGUCCGGAUUUAUUGGGCGUAAAGAGCGUGUAGGCGGUUUGGUAGGUCCGCUGUGAAAACUCGAGCUCAACCUCGAGACGCCGGUGGAAACCAUCAGACUAGAGUCCGGAAGAGGAGAGUGGAAUUCCUGGUGUAGCGGUGAAAUGCGCAGAUAUCAGGAGGAACACCGGUGGCGAAGGCGGGUCUCUGGGGCAGUAACUGACGCUGAGGAGCGAAAGCCGUGGGGGAGCGAACAGG
rnacentral:rRNA from 1 species